rnacentral:rRNA from 1 species
GCUGUACAGCCAUAACAUUACUUUUAUCAGCAUCAAUCUGAGCAUUCUUAAGUUUCUCCCUUAGGUUAUUUGACAUUUGGUGACACUCAAUAAUCGCAUCAUCUUUAGAAGACAAAAUUAGGUUCCAUUCUUGUACUUUUACAUUUACAGCUGCCAUAAUUAGAUCAUCUUCUUCAGUUUUGAAUUUCAGAAGAUCUGUAAGCUCCUGCACUCCAAGUUGAUAAUGAUCGUUGUCUUUUUUUAAUUGAUAUAUGACAUGAUCUGUAUGAUGCACAAUAUGUUUCAUAGGAAUAGUUAAUCUGUCAUCCAGGCUUUCUCGUGAAUCAUCGAAUCUUUGAACGCACAUUGCGCCCCCUGGUAUUCCGGGGGGCAUGCCUGUUCGAGCGUCAUUUCACCACUCAAGCCUCGCUUGGUAUUGGGCAACGCGGUCCGCCGCGUGCCUCAAAUCGACCGGCUGGGUCUUCUGUCCCCUAAGCGUUGUGGAAACUAUUCGCUAAAGGGUGUUCGGGAGGGUACGCCGUAAAACAACCCCAUUUCUAAGGUUGACCUCGGAUCAGGUAGGGAUACCCGCUGAACUUAAGCAUAUCAAUAAGCGG